AUAAGUUUGAUUCUUGCUUAUCUAUUAAUUUAUUAAAUAAUUUAUAUGUUAUUUUUUUAAUAUUUUUGUUUUGCAGUAAAUUUAAUUGUUUAUAAUUGAUUAUUUUUAAUUAGCAGUGAUUUAAUAAUAAUGGAUAAAUUUUGUGCCAGCAAUCGCGGUUAUACAAUUCAUUAAAAUUAAUAUUUUAAUUUUUUAUAAUUAUUUAUAUAUUGAUUUUGAAUUUAAUUUAUUUAGGUGGAAUUUAUAUAUUCUUUUAAAAUCUUUAUUAGAGUUUAUUAAAUCAGUAUUUUAAACUAGGAUUAGAUACCCUAUUAUUCUUGUACUUAAAUAUUUAGUGAAUAUUAGUAGUUAUGUUCUAUUAAACUCAAAGAAUUUGGCGGUGAAUUAUAUCUUUUUAGAGGAGCCUGUUUUUUAAUUGAUAAACCACGAUAAUUUUUACCUUUAAUUUUAUUUGUAUACCUCUAUAAUUAGGAAUGUUAUUUAAAUAUAUUUUCUUUAUUUUUAUUAAAUUAUAUUAGGUCAAGGUGCAGUUUUAUUUAGGUAAAUAUGGGUUACUUUAAUAAUAAAUUUUUAUAUUUAAUUAUUCUACAUUUAUGAUAAAAUUUAAAAUAGGAUUUAAUAGUAAUUUUAUUUAAUUAUUUAUUAUGAAAUUAGUUUUAAUUCAUGUACAUAUCGCCCGUCACUCUCUUUAAAAUGGGAUAAGUCGUAACAAAGUAGGUGUACCGGAAGGUGUAACUAGAAAGUUUAU
rnacentral:ncRNA from 1 species